rnacentral:rRNA from 1 species
CGGCUAACUCCGUGCCAGCAGCCGCGGUAAUACGGAGGAUCCGAGCGUUAUCCGGAUUUAUUGGGUUUAAAGGGUGCGUAGGCGGGAUGUUAAGUCAGGGGUGAAACCGCGCGGCUCAACCGCGCGCCUGCCCUUGAAACUGGCGUCCUUGAGUUCGGUCAGGGUACGCGGAACGUGUGGUGUAGCGGUGAAAUGCAUAGAUAUCACACAGAACACCGUUCGCGAAGGCGGCGUACCGGCCCGCUACUGACGCUGAGGCACGAAAGCGUGGGUAUCAAACAGGAUUAGAUACCCUGGUAGUCCACGCAGUAAACGAUGAUCACUGGCCGUCUGCGAUACACAGCAGGUGGCUGAGGGAAACCGUUAAGUGAUCCACCUGGGGAGUACGUCCGCAAGGAUGAAACUCAAAGGAAUUGACGGGGGCCCGCACAAGCGGAGGAACAUGUGGUUUAAUUCGAUGAUACGCGAGGAACCUUACCCGGGCUUGAAAUGUACCCGACGGGCAGAGAGAUUUGUCUUCCGGCAACGGCGGGUAUGUAGGUGCUGCAUGGUUGUCGUCAGCUCGUGCCGUGAGGUGUCGGCUUAAGUGCCAUAACGAGCGCAACCCUUAUCGAUAGUUGCUAGCAGGUUAUGCUGAGGACUCUAUCGAGACUGCCGCCGUAAGGUGCGAGGAAGGCGGGGAUGACGUCAAAUCAGCACGGCCCUUACGUCCGGGGCGACACACGUGUUACAAUGGGGGGUACAACGGGUAGCUACCGUGCGAACGGAUGCCAAUCUCCAAAAACCCUUCUCAGUUCGGAUUGGAGUCUGCAACUCGACUCCAUGAAGCUGGAUUCGCUAGUAAUCGCGCAUCAGCCACGGCGCGGUGAAUACGUUCCCGGGCCUUGUACACACCGCCCGUCAAGCCAUGGGAGCCGGGGGGACCUGAAGUACGCGGCCGCAAGGAGCGUCCUAGGGUAAAACCGGUGACUGGGGCUAAGUCGUAACAAGGUAGCCGUACCGGAAGGUGCGGCUG